rnacentral:rRNA from 1 species
GUGGUGUGACUGCGUACCUUUUGUAUAAUGGGUCAGCGACUUAUAUUCUGUAGCAAGGUUAACCGUAUAGGGGAGCCGAAGGGAAACCGAGUCUUAACUGGGCGUUAAGUUGCAGGGUAUAGACCCGAAACCCGGUGAUCUAGCCAUGGGCAGGUUGAAGGUUGGGUAACACUAACUGGAGGACCGAACCGACUAAUGUUGAAAAAUUAGCGGAUGACCUGUGGCUGGGGGUGAAAGGCCAAUCAAACCGGGAGAUAGCUGGUUCUCCCCGAAAGCUAUUUAGGUAGCGCCUCGUGAAUUCAUCUCCGGGGGUAGAGCACUGUUUCGGCUAGGGGGCCAUCCCGGCUUACCAACCCGAUGCAAACUGCGAAUACCGGAGAAUGUUAUCACGGGAGACACACGGCGGGUGCUAACGUCCGUCGUGAAGAGGGAAACAACCCAGACCGCCAGCUAAGGUCCCAAAGUCAUGGUUAAGUGGGAAACGAUGUGGGAAGGCACAGACAGCCAGGAUGUUGGCUUAGAAGCAGCCAUCAUUUAAAGAAAGCGUAAUAGCUCACUGGUCGAGUCGGCCUGCGCGGAAGAUGUAACGGGGCUAAACCAUGCACCGAAGCUGCGGCAGCGACACUUAGGUGUUGUUGGGUAGGGGAGCGUUCUGUAAGCCGUCGAAGGUGACCUGUGAGGGUUGCUGGAGGUAUCAGAAGUGCGAAUGCUGACAUAAGUAACGAUAAAGCGGGUGAAAAGCCCGCUCGCCGGAAGACCAAGGGUUCCUGUCCAACGUUAAUCGGGGCAGGGUGAGUCGACCCCUAAGGCGAGGCCGAAAGGCGUAGUCGAUGGGAAACAGGUUAAUAUUCCUGUACUCGGUGUUACUGCGAAGGGGGGACGGAGAAGGCUAUGUUGGCCGGGCGACGGUUGUCCCGGUUUAAGCAUGUAGGCGGAGGUUCCAGGUAAAUCCGGUACCUUAUUAACGCUGAGGUGUGAUGACGAGGCACUACGGUGCUGAAGUAACAAAUGCCCUGCUUCCAGGAAAAGCCUCUAAGCAUCAGGUAACAUCAAAUCGUACCCCAAACCGACACAGGUGGUCAGGUAGAGAAUACCAAGGCGCUUGAGAGAACUCGGGUGAAGGAACUAGGCAAAAUGGUGCCGUAACUUCGGGAGAAGGCACGCUGAUAUGUAGGUGAAGCCCCUGCGGGUGGAGCUGAAAUCAGUCGAAGAUACCAGCUGGCUGCAACUGUUUAUUAAAAACACAGCACUGUGCAAACACGAAAGUGGACGUAUACGGUGUGACGCCUGCCCGGUGCCGGAAGGUUAAUUGAUGGGGUUAGCGGCAACGCGAAGCUCUUGAUCGAAGCCCCGGUAAACGGCGGCCGUAACUAUAACGGUCCUAAGGUAGCGAAAUUCCUUGUCGGGUAAGUUCCGACCUGCACGAAUGGCGUAAUGAUGGCCAGGCUGUCUCCACCCGAGACUCAGUGAAAUUGAAAUCGCUGUGAAGAUGCAGUGUACCCGCGGCAAGACGGAAAGACCCCGUGAACCUUUACUAUAGCUUGACACUGAACACUGGUCCUUGAUGUGUAGGAUAGGUGGGAGGCUUUGAAGCGUGGACGCCAGUCUGCGUGGAGCCAUCCUUGAAAUACCACCCUUUAAUGGCUGGUGUUCUAACGUGGGCCCGUAAUCCGGGUUGCGGACAGUGUCUGGUGGGUAGUUUGACUGGGGCGGUCUCCUCCUAAAGAGUAACGGAGGAGCACGAAGGUUAGCUAAUCCUGGUCGGACAUCAGGAGGUUAGUGCAAUGGCAUAAGCUAGCUUGACUGCGAGAGUGACGGCUCGAGCAGGUGCGAAAGCAGGUCAUAGUGAUCCGGUGGUUCUGUAUGGAAGGGCCAUCGCUCAACGGAUAAAAGGUACUCCGGGGAUAACAGGCUGAUACCGCCCAAGAGUUCAUAUCGACGGCGGUGUUUGGCACCUCGAUGUCGGCUCAUCACAUCCUGGGGCUGAAGUAGGUCCCAAGGGUACGGCUGUUCGCCGUUUAAAGUGGUACGCGAGCUGGGUUUAGAACGUCGUGAGACAGUUCGGUCCCUAUCUGCCGUGGGCGCUGGAGAAUUGAGGGGGGCUGCUCCUAGUACGAGAGGACCGGAGUGGACGCAUCACUGGUGUUCGGGUUGUCAUGCCAAUGGCACUGCCCGGUAGCUAAAUGCGGAAAAGAUAAGUGCUGAAAGCAUCUAAGCACGAAACUUGCCCCGAGAUGAGUUCUCCCUGAGCCUUUAAGGCUCCUGAAGGAACGUUGAAGACGACGACGUUGAUAGGUCGGGUGUGUAAGCGCAGCGAUGCGUUGAGCUAACCGAUACUAAUGAACCGUGAGGCUUAACCUUACAACGCCGAAGCUGUU